rnacentral:rRNA from 1 species
AACGAACGCUGGCGGCAUGCCUAACACAUGCAAGUCGAACGAGACCUUCGGGUCUAGUGGCGCACGGGUGCGUAACGCGUGGGAACCUGCCCUUAGGUUCGGAAUAACUCCCCGACAGGGGUGCUAAUACCGGAUAAUGUCUUCGGACCAAAGAUUUAUCGACUUUGGAUGGGCCCGCGUUGGAUUAGCUAGUUGGUAGGGUAAAAGCCUACCAAGGCGACGAUCCAUAGCUGGUCUGAGAGGAUGAUCAGCCACACUGGGACUGAGACACGGCCCAGACUCCUACGGGAGGCAGCAGUGGGGAAUAUUGGACAAUGGGCGAAAGCCUGAUCCAGCAAUGCCGCGUGAGUGAUGAAGGCCUUAGGGUUGUAAAGCUCUUUUACCCGGGAUGAUAAUGACAGUACCGGGAGAAUAAGCUCCGGCUAACUCCGUG